GGGUAUGUAGCUCAGGAAGGACCGCAAGGUUCUGGGAGAGCGCUCGCUUGCACGCGAGAGGUCGUUGGUUCGAAUCCAACCAUACCCACCU
rnacentral:tRNA from 1 species